rnacentral:rRNA from 1 species
AAGACACGGUGACACAUGAGUUGUUAGGGCCUUCGGGUUGUAAAGCUCUUUUGUAGGGGAAGAUAAUGACUGUACCCUAAGAAUAAGGUCCGGCUAACUUCGUGCCAGCAGCCGCGGUAAUACGAAGGGACCUAGCGUAGUUCGGAAUUACUGGGCGUAAAGCGCGCGUAGGCCGUUGAGUUAGUUAAUUGUGAAAUCCCAAAGCUUAACUUUGGAACUGCAAUUAAAACUGCUCGACUAGAGUUUGAUAGAGGAAAGCGGAAUACAUAGUGUAGAGGUGAAAUUCGUAGAUAUUAUGUAGAACACCAGUUGCGAAGGCGGCUUUCUGGAUCAACACUGACGCUGAGGCGCGAAAGUAUGGGUAGCAAAGAGGAUUAGAUACCCUCGUAGUCCAUACCAUAAACGAUGAUUGCUAGAUGUUGGAAAUUUAUUUUCAGUAUCGCAGCUAACGCAUUAAGCAAUCCGCCUGGGGAGUACGACCGCAAGGUUAAAACUCAAAUGAAAUUGACGGA